CGGCCUGAGAGGGUGGUCGCCACACUGGAACUGAGACACGGUCCAGACUCCUACGGGGGGCAGCAGUAGGGAAUAUUCGGCAAUGGGCGAAAGCCUGCCCGAGCGACGCCGCGUGAGGGACGAAGGUCUUCGGAUUGUAAACCUCUGUCUAGGGGGACGAGGAAGGAUCGGUACCCCUGGAGGAAGCCCCGGCUAACUACGUGCCAGCAGCCGCGGUAAUACGUAGGGGGCGAGCGUUGUCCGGAAUUACUGGGCGUAAAGGGCGUGCAGGCGGUCAUGUAAGUCAGGUGUGAAAGGCUAGGGCUCAACUCUAGUUAGUCGUCUGAUACUGACAUGGCUUGAGGGCAAGAGAGGGAAGUGGAAUUCCCCGGUGUAGCGGUGAAAUGCGUAGAUAUCGGGAGGAACAUCCAGUGGCGAAGGCGGCUUCCACUGGAAUGUACCUGACGCUCAUGCGCGAAAGC
rnacentral:rRNA from 1 species